AUUACUCAAUGAAUUUAUUACAUUUAUAGUUGUACAAUGAUCAUCACAACCCAGUUUUAUAGCAUUUCCAUCCCAAACCACCAGCGCAUCCCCCUACUCCCCAACCUGUCUCCUUUGGAAACCGUAGUUUUUCAAAGUCUGUGAGUCAGUAUCUGUUCUGCAAAGAAGUUCAGUGUGUCCUUUUUUUAGAUUCCACAUGUAAGUGAUAGCAUUUGAUGUUGGUGUCUCACUGUCUGGUUAACUUCACUUAGCAUGAUAAUUUCUAGCUCCAUCCAUGUUGCUGCAAAUGCCGUUAUUUCUUUCCUUUUAAUGGUUGACAGGAUACAAAAUUAAUAUACAAACAUCUGUUGCAUUUCUAUACGCUAACAACAAACUUUCAAAAAGAGAAAUUUAGGAAACAAUCCCAUUUACCAUCACAUCAAAAAGAAUAAAAUACCUAGGCAUAAACCUACCUAAGAACCUGUACUCAGAAAACUAUAAAACAAUGAUUAAAGAAACUUAAAAUGACACAGAUGGAAAGAUAUACUGUGAUCAGAGACUAGAAGAAUUAACAUUAUUAAAAUGACUAUAUUACCCAAGGCAAUAUACAGAUUCAAUGGAAUCCUUAUGAAAAUACCAAGAAUAUUUUUCAUAGAACUGUAACAAAUUUUUAUUUUUUAUUUAUUUUUUUCUUUUUAGGGCCACACCCAUGGCAUAUGGAAGUUCCCAGGGUAGGAGUCAAAUCGGAGCCACAGGCGCCGGCCUAGGCCACAGCCACAGCAACUCCAGAUCCAAACUGCAUUUUCAACCUACACCACAGUUCACGGCAAUGCUGGAUCCCUGAUGCACUGAGCAAGGCCAGGGAUUGAGUCCGCAUCCUCAUGGAUACCAGUUGGAUUCAUUUCCACUGAGCCACGAGAGGAACUCCAAAAAUAAUUUUAAACUGUGAAUGGAAACACACAAGAGCCCGAAUAGUCAAAAUAACCUUGAAAAAAAAACAGAGCUGGAGGUGCUUCUGGUAAACUCAUGCUCCCUGACUUCAGAUAACAAAUCUAUAGUAAUCAAAAUGGCAUGAUGCUCCCACAGAAACAGACAUGCAGAUCAAUAGAGCAGAAUAGAGAGCCCAGAAAUAAACCCAAUACUUAAUAGUCAAUUAAUUUGCAACAAAGAAAACAAGAAUAUAAAAUGGAGAAAAGAUCGUUUCUUCAAUAAGGGUGCUGGGAAAUUAAAUAGCUACAUGUAAAAGAAUGAAAUUAGAGCAUUUUCUCACACCAUAAACAUUUUACUAUUUUUGAUUUUUAACCUUCCUACUAGCUUUGUAAGUGGUCAAUUUACUACUUUACUCUAUAUUUGCCUUUACCAAUGAGAUUUUUUUCUUUUCAUAAUUUUCAUAUUUCUACUUGUGGCCUUUUCACUUGCAGAAGACCCUUUAACACUUCUAGGAUAGCUGGGUUUAGAGUGCUGAACUCUUUUAGUUUUUCCCUUUAAUUAUUUUGAUCUCUCCUUCAAAUCUGAAUGAUAGCUUUGCUGGGUAAAGUAUUCCCGAUUGAGAUUUUUUCUCUUUUAUCACUUUAAAUAGACGUGUAAGAUGUGAAUGUCUCUAAAAAGAGAAGUGUCUUCCUAAACCAUUUUUCUUUUAGAAUUUAUUUUAGAGCAAUUUUAAGUUCACAGCAAAAUUGAGAGGGAUAUAUAGAUAUUUCUCUUAUACUUUCAGCUGAAUAACUUCUUUAAAGUUUUUUUGUUUUGUUUUGUUUUUUUUUUAGGAUGAAGAAUUUGGUUAUACUAAAAAUCUUCUCCCGAGAUGAAUCUUUUUAGUAGUUAUGUGUGAAAAUUAUAGUCAUUUGAUUGAGCCUUAUUAAGCCUGUGGAAUCCAUUCCUGAGUUCAAAAUAACGAGUUUAAAAAUUUUGGGAUUCAUAGUUUUUAGUUGAUCUAAACUGGUCACACUUAAACUCCUAAUGGUUCUUAUAUUUACCAGAUGAAGCAAAGGAUGCAAAAAAGUUUCGCUGUGGAAUGUGUCAUCCUCCAGGAGUUUCAUCAGAUUGUGUUUGCCCACUAGCUACAAUAAAGCUAAUGCAUCUACUAACAUAAAAUAAUGUACUGCUUUUGUUGAGGUUUAUUUACUAUCCUAAUGACGAUUUCAGUAAACUCAGGGCUCUAAAUGACAACUACUUGGAUAACUGCAUUGUAAUAUGUUUGCAAUUUAGUCAGGCUUAAUUCUGUAUCUAACAGAAUUAGCACCCUACAAAUGUUGUAGUUGGUGUAAUAUGAAUGAAAAACAAUUUAUUUGCAUUGUUGUAUUGUAGUGUUUGAACAUAUUAGUUCCAAUACCAUGUACUUGUACAUUUUAAAGUACUACUUAAUAGUAUUAAUAUCACUGUUAUUUACUGCUUGUUUUAUAAAUUAAUUUUUAUAUUUCAGAAUGAGUCAGUAUACAAUUUUGUCAGUGAAAUGUAAGAUUGCUAAUUCCCUUUUCUGCAAACUUGUAGCUCUGUGAUUGCUAAUGUUCUCAAAAGAACUUGAUACCUACUAGGGUGACUUAAUUGAGGGCUUGGUUGUCAUACGAUUGGUUUUAAAUUCUAAAGAUUUGUGGUUUGCCUUAUCAUUAUCUUUGUGUUACCUUUGAUAAAUAGAAGACCUUAAGUAGAAUGUAGACAACUUUAUGAAUCUUCCACUAUGAUUAGUGUUUUUUGCAUUCUGUUUAAGAAAACUUUCCAUAUUCCAAAUUCAUGAAAUCAUUCGUCUAUGUUAUUUCUUAAAGUUUUAUCAUUGGUCUUUCACAUUUAGAUUAUAAUCCACCUUUAACUGUUUUCAAGUACAGUGUGAGGUAAGGUAAAAUUCAUAUUUUUUUCAUCCCAAUGAAGCUUUCAUUCUCUUCUGAUCUGGAGUGGAGUAGCAUCUUUGUCAUAAAUAAAAAUUCUAUUAUAGCACAACUCUGAUAUCAUUACAUAAUAAAUACAAUGGAAUGCAGUCUAAUUUGACAACAAAAUAUUCCACACUCCACUGUGUCUUACAAAUGUGACAUUUAGAGUCAAAUUUUACCUGAUUUAUUUGUAUUGACAUAAUAAGGAUGCACUGGUAAUAAAAAUAAAAUAAAUGUUGCACUUUGUCCAUACAGAUGCCACUUGAAACAUUGUUAAGUUGUAACUGCAUCAUUACAAUUUACAGCGGCAUCACACAGCAGUGUGAAGUGAUGAGAGGGCUGCAUAUGCUCUCUGUUGCAAUGACUCAACUCUACCAACACGUAUAAAAGCAGACACUGACAGUGUAUGAGCAAAUAAGUGAGAGGCUGUGUUCCAAUAAAACUUUAAGGUUUUAAAUUAGGGAAAUUUAAAUUUCAUAUAGUUUUCAGGUAUCACAAAGCAUUAUCCUUUUGAUUUUUUCCAACCAUUAAAAAAAUGUAAAAAUAGUUCUUAACUGACAGACUGUACAAAAAUAAGCAGCAAGACUGAUUUGGACAUUGGCUCAAAUUUGUCAAUUCCUAACCUAUACGGUCAUCACAAUAGUAUUUAUCAAAAUGUGCUUUGAGGAACUCCACUCCUAGGAAAUUUUUCUUAAGAAUAAAAUGUCAAAUAACAUUAUAAAAAGCCAUAUGCUAUAUUUUACAGUUAUAGAUUCAUUCUCUGGAUUUUUAACACUGGAAACUUCUGCAAUGACAAAACACUUUUGCCUACUCCAGCUGUACAAACUUUAUUUGCCAGAAAACAUGUAUUUUCACACAAUAUUCCUACUUGCCUAUCUUAGACCUAAGGUGUUUGAUAUAGUUGGAGAUAUAUUGCCAUGACCUGAUGAGUGAAAUGAGGUAACAAACUACUGAAAACAAAAAUGUUCUUAUUUUUCUAGAAAGGGCUAACCAUUUAUUGGCCCUAACAACAAUAACAAAUAGAACUUAUUAAAAACCUGUACUAAUCUAUCAAAAAUAACAUUAUACCAGUAAUCAGCCAAUCAAUGAUAGCCCCCUCUGAAAGUCAGCUUCAAUCCAGUAAGCAUGCUACUGGAAGUCAGCCAAUCAGCAAUCUUAUUUAAUUACCUACAGUAAAUAGGUAAAGGAUAGCUAGUCCCUGAACACUUCUUUCCAAUCUCCAAGCUUAUGUAUAAAGAAACAAAUAAUAAAAAUUUCAUGGCAGAGGGUGACUGUGCAAAUGGAUUCAUUAUUUGGAAACAACUAAUUUUUCAUUAGCAUCUAGUGUUUUUGCCUACCUUUCCAGGUAAAACACUUGAGGCAAACCUGCUAUUUGCAAAUCUUGGUAUAUAUGCUGUAACAGGUAUUUUGAGGAAAGGUCACAUCUUCCCCAUCAUGAAGGCAUUUUUAAAAAAGUUUUAUUGGAGUAUAGUUGAUUUACAAUGUUGUAUUAUUUUCAGCUGUACAACAAAUAUAUUUUAUUACAAACUAUUGAGUAGAUUUCCCUGUGUUUUACAGUAGGUUCUUGUUAAUUACCUAUUUUAUAUAGUGUGUAUAUAUUAUUCCAAUCCUCCCUCCUACAAUUUCCCCUAUGGUAUCCCUAAGAUUGUUUUUGAAAUCUGUAAGCUUGUUUCUGUUUUUUAAAAAAAGUUCUUUGUAUCAUUUUAAAUUAGAUUCCACAUGUAAGCGAUAUGAAUUCAUCUUCUCUGUUUUACUUCACAUAGCAUGAUAAUCUCUAGGUCCAUCCAUGUUGUUGCAAAUGGUAUUAUUUCACUCUUUUUCAUGGCUGAGUAAUACUCCACUAUAUAUAUAAUGGACAUAUUCUUUAUACAUUCCUCUUUUGAUGGACAUUCAGGUUGCUUCCAUGUCUGAACCAUUGUACAUAGUGCUGCAAUGAACAUUGGGGUCCAUGUAUCUUUUUGAAUUAUGCUUUUCUCCAGAUAUAUGCCCAGGAAUGGAAUUGCAGGAUCAUAUGAUAGGUCUGUAUUUAUUUUUUAAAGAAACCUCCAUUAUGUUUUCCACAGUGCCUGCACCAAUUUACAUUCCCACCAACAGUGUAGCAGGGGUUCCCUUUUCUCUACACCUUCUCAAGCAUUUAUUGUUUGAAGACUUUUUGAUGAUUGCCAUUCUGAAGAGUGUUAGUACUUCAUUGCAGUUUUUUGUUUUUGUUUUGUUUUAUGUGCUUUUUUAGUGGCAUAUGGAAGUUUCUAGGCUAGGAGUUGAAUCAGAGCUGCAGCUGCCAGCUUAUGCCACAGCCACAGCAAUGCAGGAUACAAACCUUGUCUGUGACCUAUACCACAGCUCACGGCAAUGCCAGACCCUCACCCCACUGAGCAGGGCCAGGGAUAUAAUCCACAUCUUCAUGGAUACUAGUCAGGGCUGUUACCACUGAGCCACAAUGUGAACUUCUUCAUUGUAGUUUUGAAUUGCAUUCUCUAAUAGUGAUGUUGAGUAUCUUUUCAUGUGUUGCUUGGCCAUCUGUCUUCUUUGGAGAAAUUGUUUAGAUCUUCUGCCCAUUUUUUUUGAUUGGGUUGUAUUUUUUCAUAUAAAGUUGCAUGAGAUGUUUGUAUAUUUUGGAGAUUAAUCCCUUGUCAGUUGCUUCCUUUGCAAGUAUUUUCUGCAUUCUGUGAGCUGCCUUUUAGAUUUCUUUUAUAGUUUCCUUUGCUGUGAAACAGCUUUUAAGUUUGAUUAGGUCCCAUUUAUUUUUGUUUCUGUUUUCAUUACUCUAGGAGGUAGAUCAAUCAAGAUACUGCUGCAAUUUAUGUUCUGCCUAUGUUUUCCUCUAGGAGUUUUAUAGUUUCCAUCCUUAUGUUUAGGUUCUUAAUCCAAUUUGAGUUUAUUUUUGUGUAUGGUUGUAGAGAAUGUCCUAAUUUCAUUCUUUUACAUGCAGGCGUCCUGUAUUCCCUGCACCACUUAUUGAAGAGACUGUCUUUCCUUCAUUUUAUGUUCUUGCCUCUUUUGUCAUAGAGUAGUUGACCACAGGCACUUGGGUUUAUUUAUGGGCUUUCUAUCCUGUUCCAUUGAUCUACAUUUCCGGUUUUGUGCCAGUACCAUACUGUAUUGAUGACUGUAGCUUUGUAGCACAGUUUGAAGUCAGAGAGCCUGAGUCCUCCAGUUGUUUUUCUUUUUCAAUAUUGCUUUGGCUAUUUGGGGUCUUUUGUGUUUCCACACAAAUUUUAAUUAUUUUGUUCUGGGUCUACGAAGAAUGUCAUUGGUAAUUUGAUAGCAAUUGUAUUGAGUCUGUAAAUUUCCUUGGGUACUAUAGUCAUUUUGAUAAUAUUUAUUUUUCCCAACCCACAAGCAUGGUAUAUCCUGAAAGCAUUUUUGACAUUUAAGCAAAAACAAGUUCUGGAGACUGCAUGUGCGGGUAGAGAAGCUAAAUCUCUGGCUCUCAUCCUGGGUCUUCAUCUAUUGGCUCUUUAUAUCUGAAAGUAGCUUUAGAAGCCUGGCUAUUAUUCUGGCAAUAAAAUUUUGGCAGAUUGCUUAACUGCUGAGAAUAAAAAGUUCUCACCUUCUGUUCCAGGAAAGGACAUUUUCCUCUGCCCAUAACACCAAGUAACCUCCAAAAUCAGGUUUUAAACAUAUCACAAUCUGUCAAUGAAUCAGCAACUAUGCUUCUGAAAGCUAGAACAUUUGUCACCAAGCUAAUAUUUUUAGUAUGUCAUUAUUGCCCUUCUCAAAUUACAGUUAGUCAACUGUUUAGCUCUUUAUUGAAUACCUAUUACGUGUCAGGAUGUUCUUGGUCAGUAGUUCUCAAUUUUGGCCACAUAUAGAUCAACUGUAAAGAUUUUAAAAUCAUUGUGCCUGUCUCAUUCACAAAUUAUCUGUCUAGAAUGUAGCUUGAAUACUGAAUUUUUAAUAAAGCUUUACUGAUUCUUAUAAGAAUUGAAAACUGGGUCUUGAAAAGAUAUU
rnacentral:lncRNA from 1 species